rnacentral:tRNA from 1 species
GCCGAAGUGGCGGAAUGGUAGACGCGCUGGAUUCAAAAUCCUGUGUUCGCAAGGGCGUGAGGGUUCGAGUCCCUCCUUCGGCACCA